CGCAUUGUUGGUUUUGAAGUCAAUCCAAUCAGUAUUAACCAUGAGUACAAGAAUUGGGAUGAGAACAACACUCGGUUGACAACAUGCAAUUCCCAAAUUCAGGAUAAUGCUGUUACAGAACAGAUAGCUAUUGGUGAAGAGAUUGUGUUUACAUAUGAUGUCUCCUUUGAGUCCAGCGAAAUCAAAUGGGCUUCGCGCUGGGACACGUACCUUCUUAUGAACGACAGUCAGAUUCAUUGGUUCUCCAUUAUUAACUCUUUAAUUAUUGUUCUGUUUCUUUCGGGCAUGGUUGCCAUGAUUAUGAUGAGAACACUCUACAAGGACAUUACAAGCUACAAUCAGCUGGAUACCCAAGAUGAGGCCUUGGAAGAAACAGGCUGGAAAUUAGUUCAUGGGGAUGUUUUCCGUCCGCCUCCUAAUUCCAGUUUAUUGUGUGUGUAUGCUGGGACAGGCAUCCAAGUUUUGGGAAUGACUCUUGUCGCAAUGAUUUUUGCAUUGUUGGGUUUCCUCUCACCGGCCAACCGUGGUGGCCUGAUGACAGCCAUGGUCCUUUUAUGGGUUUUCAUGGGCUUAUUUGCAGGAUACUCGUCAGCUCGUUUGUACAAGAUGUUCAAAGGCACACAGUGGAAGAGGGUCACCUUGAAAACAGCCUUCACAUUCCCUGCUAUACUUUUUACCAUUUACUUUGUACUGAAUGCACUAAUUUGGGGUGAGAAAUCUUCUGGAGCAGUUCCUUUUGGAACAAUGUUUGCUCUGGUGUUCUUGUGGUUUGGGAUAUCAGUGCCAUUGGUUUUCAUUGGCAGUUUUGUGGGUUUCAGAAAGCCAGCAAUUGAAGAUCCUGUCAAAACUAAAAAAAUCCCAAGGCAGAUUCCUUUGCAGACAUGGUAUACAAAACCAAUAUUCUGCAUUCUUAUUGGAGGCAUACUUCCAUUUGGAGCAGUGUUCAUUGAGCUAUUCUUCAUGUUGACAUCUAUAUGGCUAAACCAGUUCUAUUACAUGUUCGGUU
rnacentral:misc_RNA from 1 species